rnacentral:rRNA from 1 species
GAUGAACGCUGGCGGCGUGCUUAACACAUGCAAGUCGAACGAAGAUGCCGGAGUGCUUGCACUUUGGCAGACUGAGUGGCGGACGGGUGAGUAACGCGUGGGUAACCUGCCUUAUACAGGGGGAUAACAGUUGGAAACGACUGCUAAUACCGCAUAAGCGCACGGUAUCGCAUGAUACAGUGUGAAAAACUCCGGUGGUAUAAGAUGGACCCGCGUCUGAUUAGCUGGUUGGUGAGGUAACGGCCCACCAAGGCGACGAUCAGUAGCCGGACUGAGAGGUUGAACGGCCACAUUGGGACUGAGAUACGGCCCAGACUCCUACGGGAGGCAGCAGUGGGGAAUAUUGGGGCAAUGGGCGCAAGCCUGACCCAGCAACGCCGCGUGAAGGAAGAAGGCUUUCGGGUUGUAAACUUCUUUUAAGAGGGAAGAGCAGAAGACGGUACCUCUAGAAUAAGCCACGGCUAACUACGUG